AGGAUGAACGCUGGCGGCGUGCUUAACACAUGCAAGUCAAGGGGGCCCAGCAAUGGGUAACCGGCGAACGGGUGCGUAACACGUGAGCAACCUACCGAAUUGUGGGGGAUAGCCGGCCCAACGGCCGGGUAAUACCGCAUACGCUCGAGACGAGGCAUUUCGACUCGAGGAAACCUACGGGACAUUUCGAGGGGCUCGCGGCCUAUCAGCUAGUUGGUGAGGUAACGGCUCACCAAGGCGACGACGGGUAGC
rnacentral:rRNA from 1 species